UUGUAUCCCACACUAGUCCUACUCAGAGUAGAUCCAUUAAAGUACAUGAACAUGACUAAAGUUGUUGUUUUCAGUGGCUCUCCUCCAAGUAGGACUAGAGUGGGAUACAA